rnacentral:rRNA from 1 species
UACGUAGGGACCAAGCGUUGUUCGGAUUUACUGGGCGUAAAGGGCGCGUAGGCGGCGUGACAAGUCACUUGUGAAAUCUCUGGGCUUAACCCAGAACGGCCAAGUGAAACUGUCGUGCUAGAGUGCGGAAGGGGCAAUCGGAAUUCUCGGUGUAGCGGUGAAAUGCGUAGAUAUCGAGAGGAACACCUGCGGCGAAGGCGGGUUGCUGGGCUGACACGUGACGCUGAUGCGCGAAAGCCAGGGGAGCGAACGGG